rnacentral:rRNA from 1 species
GGGUUGUGAGGUUAAGCGAACAAGCGUACACGGUGGAUGCCCUGGCAGUCAGAGGCGAUGAAGGACGUGCUAAUCUGCGAAAAGCGCCGGUAAGGUGAUAUGAACCGUUAUAACCGGCGAUGUCCGAAUGGGGAAACCCGGUGCACUUCGGUGCAUCAUCGUUAGCUGAAUACAUAGGCUAACGAGGCGAACCGGGGGAACUGAAACAUCUAAGUACCCCGAGGAAAAGAAAUCAACCGAGAUUCCCCCAGUAGCGGCGAGCGAACGGGGAACAGCCCAGAGCCUGAAUCAGCUUGUGUGUCAGUGGAACGGUCUGGAAAGGCCGGCGAUACAGGGUGACAGCCCCGUACACGAAGGCACACAGGCUGUGAGCUCGAUGAGUAGGGCGGGACACGUGAUAUCCUGUCUGAAGAUGGGGGGACCAUCCUCCAAGGCUAAAUACUCCUGACUGACCGAUAGUGAACCAGUACCGUGAGGGAAAGGCGAAAAGAACCCCGGCGAGGGGAGUGAAACAGAACCUGAAACCGUGUACGUACAAGCAGUGGGAGCCUUCGUAAGAGGGUGACUGCGUACCUUUUGUAUAAUGGGUCAGCGACUUAUAUUCUGUAGCAAGGUUAACCGUAUAGGGGAGCCGAAGGGAAACCGAGUCUUAACCGGGCGUUAAGUUGCAGGGUAUAGACCCGAAACCCGGUGAUCUAGCCAUGGGCAGGUUGAAGGUUGGGUAACACUAACUGGAGGACCGAACCGACUAAUGUUGAAAAAUUAGCGGAUGACCUGUGGCUGGGGGUGAAAGGCCAAUCAAACCGGGAGAUAGCUGGUUCUCCCCGAAAGCUAUUUAGGUAGCGCCUCGUGAACUCAUCUCCGGGGGUAGAGCACUGUUUCGGCUAGGGGGCCAUCCCGGCUUACCAACCCGAUGCAAACUGCGAAUACCGGAGAAUGUUAUCACGGGAGACACACGGCGGGUGCUAACGUCCGUCGUGAAGAGGGAAACAACCCAGACCGCCAGCUAAGGUCCCAAAGUCAUGGUUAAGUGGGAAACGAUGUGGGAAGGCCCAGACAGCCAGGAUGUUGGCUUAGAAGCAGCCAUCAUUUAAAGAAAGCGUAAUAGCUCACUGGUCGAGUCGGCCUGCGCGGAAGAUGUAACGGGGCUAAACCAUGCACCGAAGCUGCGGCAGCGACACGUAUGUGUUGUUGGGUAGGGGAGCGUUCUGUAAGCCUGUGAAGGUGUGCUGUGAGGCAUGCUGGAGGUAUCAGAAGUGCGAAUGCUGACAUAAGUAACGAUAAAGCGGGUGAAAAGCCCGCUCGCCGGAAGACCAAGGGUUCCUGUCCAACGUUAAUCGGGGCAGGGUGAGUCGACCCCUAAGGCGAGGCCGAAAGGCGUAGUCGAUGGGAAACAGGUUAAUAUUCCUGUACUUGGUGUUACUGCGAAGGGGGGACGGAGAAGGCUAUGUCGGCCGGGCGACGGUUGUCCCGGUUUAAGCGUGUAGGCUGACUUUCCAGGCAAAUCCGGAAGGUUAAGGCUGAGGCGUGAUGACGAGGCACCACGGUGCUGAAGUGACAAAUGCCCUGCUUCCAGGAAAAGCCUCUAAGCAUCAGGUAACAUCAAAUCGUACCCCAAACCGACACAGGUGGUCAGGUAGAGAAUACCAAGGCGCUUGAGAGAACUCGGGUGAAGGAACUAGGCAAAAUGGUGCCGUAACUUCGGGAGAAGGCACGCUGACAUGUAGGUGAAGCCCCUGCGGGUGGAGCUGAAGUCAGUCGAAGAUACCAGCUGGCUGCAACUGUUUAUUAAAAACACAGCACUGUGCAAACACGAAAGUGGACGUAUACGGUGUGACGCCUGCCCGGUGCCGGAAGGUUAAUUGAUGGGGUUAUCGCAAGAGAAGCUCCUGAUCGAAGCCCCGGUAAACGGCGGCCGUAACUAUAACGGUCCUAAGGUAGCGAAAUUCCUUGUCGGGUAAGUUCCGACCUGCACGAAUGGCGUAAUGAUGGCCAGGCUGUCUCCACCCGAGACUCAGUGAAAUUGAACUCGCUGUGAAGAUGCAGUGUACCCGCGGCAAGACGGAAAGACCCCGUGAACCUUUACUACAGCUUGACACUGAACAUUGAGCCUUGAUGUGUAGGAUAGGUGGGAGGCUUUGAAGCGUGGACGCCAGUCUGCGUGGAGCCGACCUUGAAAUACCACCCUUUAAUGUUUGAUGUUCUAACCUGGCGCCGUGAUCCGGCGUGGGGACAGUGUCUGGUGGGUAGUUUGACUGGGGCGGUCUCCUCCCAAAGUGUAACGGAGGAGCACGAAGGUCAGCUAAUCCUGGUCGGACAUCAGGAGGUUAGUGCAAUGGCAUAAGCUGGCUUGACUGCGAGAGUGACGGCUCGAGCAGGUGCGAAAGCAGGUCAUAGUGAUCCGGUGGUUCUGUAUGGAAGGGCCAUCGCUCAACGGAUAAAAGGUACUCCGGGGAUAACAGGCUGAUACCGCCCAAGAGUUCAUAUCGACGGCGGUGUUUGGCACCUCGAUGUCGGCUCAUCACAUCCUGGGGCUGAAGUAGGUCCCAAGGGUAUGGCUGUUCGCCAUUUAAAGUGGUACGCGAGCUGGGUUUAGAACGUCGUGAGACAGUUCGGUCCCUAUCUGCCGUGGGCGCUGGAGAAUUGAGGGGGGCUGCUCCCAGUACGAGAGGACCGGAGUGGACGCAUCACUGGUGUUCGGGUUGUCAUGCCAAUGGCACUGCCCGGUAGCUAAAUGCGGAAGAGAUAAGUGCUGAAAGCAUCUAAGCACGAAACUUGCCCCGAGAUGAGUUCUCCCUGAGACUAUAAGUCUCCUGAAGGAACGUUGAAGACGACGACGUUGAUAGGCCGGGUGUGUAAGCGCAGCGAUGCGUUGAGCUAACCGGUACUAAUGAACCGUGAGGCUUAACCUUACAACGCCAAAGAAGU